UUUCUCUUUUUUAUUGUCUUCUAGUUAAGCACCCACCACCGUUAUGCUGACUGGUCUGGCCAAAGUAAAGACAGGAAACACAUUUCCAUUGACGUCAAAAUGCGAAUCUUUCCCACAAACUGUGGUUUUGUUGUGGGAUUCUCAAAGACCACCAUUAUUAGAGGUUUCGGAAGGGUGAUAUAUAGAAAAUAAAUAUAUAAAUAAUCGAUCCUGCAUCCAAGAGCCACAACAAAAGGGUUCCAUUAGAAAUAGAACAAGAUGAUGAAGGAAAACAAUGACGCCAUUUUCAAUUAAUGGUAAGAGCAAGAAGAGUUCACAUGGGAAGCUGAGGUCCCAAAGGACAACUGGGUGAAGCAUGCUGUGCUCAUCAAAUACCAAUAAAGGAAGGAACUUCAAAUCAAUAUGGUAUGUUAACUAGAUGAGCUGAGGAGAACAAGCCAAUCUGUUGUUUUGGCUCAGACUUUCGUCUUGAACAAAGAAAAAAAAAAAAAAAAAAAAAAAAAAAAAAAAAAGAAAGAAAAGUUAAAUCAUUUCCAACAACCAGUCCCAAGUUUUUUUUUGCCUGUGGUCUAUGCUGAAAUUUGUGUGCGGUCUACAGACAUCCACAGAGACUGUAAUCACAUUGUCUCCAAUUGACAGACUGGCUGAUAAGGAGUAUUACAAAAAAUAUAAUCUUCUUAUGUCUCAUGUCAAGUCCUGAGCGAGAAGGCUAAUAAGAAAAGAUUGACCUCUGUGUUGCUUUGCAAUCCCAUGUCCUCUCCUCAACUGCCUUUAUCUGACCGUCACACCUGGGCAAAUCAUCUUUCCAUCACUCAUCAUCUUGGCAUAUUUCUAGACACCUGUUGAGUCUGAUCAAGACAGCUCAUCACAAGGGGUUUCAUUACAACCAAACUAUUUCAAGUCGAAUACUCCUCUUUGAUCACUGGACUUUUUUGUCUUAUGUCAGCACUCCAGAGAUGGUGAAAGGUACAUGCAAGGGGCCGUCAGGAGUGUUUUGUAGGAUUGAGGGAGAUGGAAAUGAGGAGAGCAGUGGAGCUGCAGUCACCAGUGCCGGAAGCCCACCCUUUAGCUAAGGCCACAGACUGCAUGUUUCAACAAUAGACAGUUAUUCGGUCAAAUGAUGUCCACAAACGCUGGAAAAUCUCAUCCAAAUGCAGCUUUCUGACAUUUGAUUCACUUAAUAUACAGCUCUUCCUAAAGGAUUCCUCAUCAAAACACACUCAGGCCUCUUGAUGACGGAUUGCAGCGUCACAGUUGACUUGAAGAGAACGUCAGACUUGCGGUCCUGGUUCUUCUCAGAGACCACUCCACAGAACAAAUCAGAGAUCAGAGAGGAAGGAAAUGAGUUUAAAAGGCAGAUUCAAAAAGAGGACGGGU
ensembl:lncRNA